GAUGAACGCUGGCGGCGUGCCUAAUACAUGCAAGUCGAGCGAACAGAUGAGGAGCUUGCUCCUCUGACGUUAGCGGCGGACGGGUGAGUAACACGUGGAUAACCUACCUAUAAGACUGGGAUAACUUCGGGAAACCGGAGCUAAUACCGGAUAAUAUAUUGAACCGCAUGGUUCAAUAGUGAAAGACGGUUUUGCUGUCACUUAUAGAUGGAUCAGCGCCGCAUUAGCUAGUUGGUAAGGUAACGGCUUACCAAGGCAACGAUGCGUAGCCGACCUGAGAGGGUGAUCGGCCACACUGGAACUGAGACACGGUCCAGACUCCUACGGGAGGCAGCAGUAGGGAAUCUUCCGCAAUGGGCGAAAGCCUGACGGAGCAACGCCGCGUGAGUGAUGAAGGUCUUCGGAUCGUAAAACUCUGUUAUUAGGGAAGAACAAAUGUGUAAGUAACUAUGCACGUCUUGACGGUACCUAAUCAGAAAGCCACGGCUAACUACGU
rnacentral:rRNA from 1 species